AGCCUGACCAAUUUAACAAGAAAUUCAAGCCAAAAAUUAGCCAAAAAAAUCUUGCAAAAGAACAGAACAAAUUCAGGGACAGUGAGAUUGAAAAAAAAAAGUGAAGAAAUCCAAACAGAAUGGCACAUUGCAACCCACAUUUCUGCAAUCUGCAUGGAGUUGCUACUGAAAGUUUCCAAUUUUUACCAUUUACCAAGGCAAAGUACAGGUUGCUGCUAUAGGUUAAAGCACAGCAAGAGAUUACUCCACAGAUGUGUCAUCAAGCUUCUUUCAGAAAAAGAGUAAUAGUAGGAGCAUCUGGGAUUAGCUGUCAAGAAGAGGAAGAACAUGCUAGCAGCAAGAAGAGCAUGCAAGUUAAGGAGAACUAAUGAAUGGCUCAAGUUCAUCACCAACGAAUGACCCUUGAAAA